rnacentral:miRNA from 1 species
UUUCCCUCUCCGUGCGCGCUCG